UACGUAGGGUGCGAGCGUUAAUCGGAAUUACUGGGCGUAAAGCGUGCGCAGGCGGUUUUGCAAGCCGGAUGUGAAAUCCCCGGGCUUAACCUGGGAAUGGCAUUUGGGACUGCAAGGCUGGAGUGCGGCAGAGGAGACUGGAAUUCCUGGUGUAGCAGUGAAAUGCGUAGAUAUGCGGAGGAACACCGAUGGCGAAGGCAAUCCCCUGGGCCUGCACUGACGCUCAUGCACGAAAGCGUGGGGAGCAAACAGG
rnacentral:rRNA from 1 species